rnacentral:rRNA from 1 species
UACGUAGGGUGCGAGCGUUAAUCGGAAUUGCUGGGCGUAAAGCGUGCGCAGGCGGUUUUGUAAGCCAGAUGUGAAAGCCCCGGGCUUAACCUGGGAAUGGCAUUUGGGACUGCAAGGCUGGAGUGUGGCAGAGGAGACUGGAAUUCCUGGUGUAGCAGUGAAAUGCGUAGAUAUCAGGAGGAAUACCGAUGGCGAAGGCAGGUCUCUGGGCUGACACUGACGCUCAUGCACGAAAGCCGUGGGGAGCAAACAGG